UACGUAGGGGGCGAGCGUUGUCCGGAUUUAUUGGGCGUAAAGCGCACGUAGGCGGAUGUGUCAGUCAGGGGUGAAAUCCCGGAGCUCAACUUCGGAACUGCCCUUGAUACAGCACGUCUUGAGUCCGGAAGAGGUGGGUGGAAUUCCUAGUGUAGAGGUGAAAUUCGUAGAUAUUAGGAAGAACACCGGUGGCGAAGGCGGCCCACUGGUCCGGUACUGACGCUGAGGUGCGAAAGCGUGGGGAGCAAACAGG
rnacentral:rRNA from 1 species